rnacentral:misc_RNA from 1 species
UUCAAAUAAUGUAUCUUUAGAAAUCAACUCCCUUUUGGGGUUAUAACGGGGGAUGGUAGAUUGAUUCACUCAUCACGAAAUCUCCGGAACUAUAACAGCUACAAACUUGAAAUUUGGCAUGUAGACUCCUUAUAGAACGUAGACAUCCGCUAAAAACGGAUUUUACGAAACUCGACCGCUAAGGGGGUAAAACGGGGGUUGGAAUUUUGUAUGAAAGUCUUAUAUUUUUGAAGUAAGAGACUUGAAAUUUAAAAUAUAUACUCUAUAGAUGGUGAAGAGGUAUCAAAUAAUGCAUCUUUAGAAAUAAAUUCUCUUUUGGGGUUAAAACAGGGGAUGGUAGAUUGACUCAUUCAUCACGAAAUCUCCGAAACUAUAACAGCUACAAAUUUGGCAUUUGAUAGGUAGGUUUCUUAUAGGGCGUAGACACCCGCUAAGAGCGGAUUUUACGAAACUCGACCCCUAAGGGGGUAAAACGGGGGUUGCAAGUUUGUAUGAAAGUUCUAUGUUUUUGAAGUAAGAGACUUGAAAUUUAAAAUGUAAGCUCUUUAGAUGGUGAGAAGGUGUCCAAAUAAUGUAUCUUUAGAAAUCAACUCCUUUUUGGGGUUAAAACGGGGAAUGGUAGGUUGACUCCCUUAUUACGAAAUCUCCGAAACUAUAACAGCUACAAACUUGAAAUUUGGCAAGUAGGUUCCUUAUAGGGCGUAAACAUCCGCUAAGAGCUAAUUUUAUGAAACUCGACCCUUAAAGGGAUAAAGCGGGAGUUGGAAGUUUGUAUGAAAGUCCUAUGUUUUUGAAGUAAGAGACUUGAAAUUUAAAAUGUAAGCUCUAUAGAUGGUGAAAAGGUGUCCAAAUAAUGUAUCUUUAGAAAUUAACUCCCUUUUGGGCUUAAAACGGGGGAUGGUAUGCUGACUCACUCAUCGCGAAAUCUCCGAAACUAUAACAGCAUCGUCAUCUUCCUGCCCUUAUCUCACUUAUGUAUGGUCGGCACAACAUAUUUUUCUCUUCCAUUCCUCUCUAUUAUUCGUCACUUCAGUGCUUACUCCUUUCUUUCUCAUAUCCUCACUCACACAAUCCAUCCAUCGCUUUUUCGGUCUUCCGAUCGCUCUUCUCUCGCGAAACUAUAACAGCAAUAAACUUGAAAUUUGGCAGAUAGGUUUCUUAUAAAGUGUAAACAUCCGCUAAGAACGAAUUUUACGAGACUCGACCUCUAAGGGGAUAAAACGGGGGAUGGAAGUUUGUAUGAAAGUCCUGUGUUUUUGAAGUAAGAGACUUGAAAUUUAAAAUUUAUGCUCUAUAGAUGGUGAGGAGGUGUCCAAAUAAUACAUCGUA